GUCCUGCACAUAUCACUAGAGCAGAACACGAGACACGAGAGGUGAUGGUGCGCACGGCAUGGCCUGGUCCCUGAUCUCAAGGAAGCAACAUUUUAAUGGAGAAGAACAGACAACAAGGAAGUAAAUGAACAGGUUCUUCAUUGUGACAUCAAGAUUCUUUGUUGCUGCAUGCAGGCUUUCUCUAGCUGUGGUCUCUGGGCUUCCCUGGCUGUGGAGCACAGGCUUCCAUGUUGGCAAGGUCAUCAGUGAUCUCUCUGACGCUCUCUCACCCCUACUGUGUUCUUGGUACAGGAAGGACAGUGAGCACACUUUAUGGAACAGAUGGAGAUGAGGGAGUCUGGAUCCCACUGCUCCCUCCUUCCACUCUCCAGUCUUUAGCUAUUGGCUAAAGUCAACCAGAGACAAGGAAACCAUGAAGCUCCUGUGAGGCACAUCCCGGUAUCAAAC
ensembl:lncRNA